GUCGGAGCUGUUGUACAUCACAGCGUUCUGGAACAUGAGCAUCAGGUCACACUGGAACUGCAUCACGGACUGGAUGUGUCCCUUUGACAGCCUCCUCUUUAUGCUGCUUAAAUCCAUGGGCCUACAAAAGACAGAGAGGAGAAGAAUGAAACUGCAACCCAGGGCCUGGCAUCCUUUGGGAUCUGCAUGAGUGUGCUUGUUCUCAUUUCAGGGUGGCCCUGAAAGCACAGCUAUUUUCAAUCAAUUUUAUUGCUUAAGACACACAGGGGGGAGUGAGAAAGGCUUUUCUUCUGAGCCAGACAAAAGUGAGUUCAGCCAAUGCGACACUUGCUAUCCAAUCAACUUGGCAGGUCAUUAGCAGUCACCUCUGGAAAAAAUGGGAUGCUGGGCUCCAGAGAAGGCAAGCAGUAAUUAGUCUUCAGGAAGUCAGUCCAGGUCUUAGUGGAGAAAGAAAAGUUACUAAAAUAGGUAUCUAUUAAACCCCCUAAAGAUCGAAUGGUGCCACCAGCAAAAAUAGCAGUGCUGGUAAGGGGAACAUGAUAGGGAAUAAAUAUUACUUCCCUUACUUUGACAGAAUGGGAAAAUGAAUGGCUGCAGAGAGGACAGCUGUGACCAGAAUAGAACAUGAUUCAGCUCUGAAAAAAUGCCGUUAAUCUCUCUGGGAAAUAUUCUUGUGACCCACUUCUGUGCUGAGAGUGAAACAUCUGGGGCGCUCGCAGCGGGACUGCUAGCACAGCUCCACAUUCAGCUUAUGGUGCAUAACUGGGAGAAACACAGAAUCCACUGGGUCUGGGAUGAGAAAACUGCUUUGCUUAUUUUGUGAACUUGCAAGCAGAGUUUGGAUCUGAAAGCCUGUCCUUCUGAAACCUCUUUCAAAGUUCACUUCAGAUGAAAUUUGAUGAACAGAGACAGUGGCAGGGCAGAGGUGUUGGAGAUGGUGCCAGACUCUUCUCAGAGCCCAAAGUGACAGGAGACAGGGAUGACAAGCUGCACCACAGGAAAGUCUGACUGGGUGUAAGGUAAAUAUUUGAAGCUGGCCCUGCUCUGAGCAGCUGAAUGAAGUAAGGGAAUGCACAGAGGUUCUUUCCAACUUAGAAUCGUGGAACAGGUUGGGUUGGGAGGGACCUUUAAAGGCUGACUGGGUCCUGCCCCCUGCCAUGGGCAGGGACACCUUCCACAAUUCCAAGCUGUUCAGAGCCUCGUCCAACUUGGCCUCCAACACUUCAGGGAUGGGGCAUCCACAGCUUCUCUGGGUAACCUGUGCCAGGGCCUCCUCACUGUAAAAAAAAUCUUCACUCAGUCUAAAUGGGCCCUCUUAUACUUUAGAACCAUUACCUUGUCCUGUCACAACAGGCAGUGCUAAAAUGUUUGUCCCUAACUGAAAUCACUCCAUAAAGCAUGAAAAACUAAGCCUCUGUAA